rnacentral:rRNA from 1 species
UACGUAGGGGGCAAGCGAUAUCCGGAUUCACUGGGUGUAAAGGGAGCGUAGGUGGCAUGGUAAGUCAGAUGUGAAAUUUAGGAGCUCAACUUCUAAGCUGCAUCUGAAACUGCUAAGCUAGAGUGCAGGAGAGGAAAGCGGAAGUCCGAGUGUAGCGGUGAAAUGCGUAGAGAUUCGGAGGAACACCAGUAGCGAAGGCGGCUUUCUGGACUGUAACUGACACUGAGGCACGAAAGCGUGGGGAGCAAACAGG